AGGGGGCCUCCUCCCUGGGUAAAAUCGCCGGGCGUCUCCACAGAAGAUGCUUCCUGUAGGCGGUGACUGUUUGGAAAGAAACCUACGAGAAGCUUUUUGAUGUCAGCUGUCCUCGGGGACCUUCCCAGGGCAUUUUCGCAGCCUGUCCCAGCCCACAAAACAUUGCCUUUCGUGCUUCAUCCCCAGCCAUCAAAUCUUCCUCAAGCUUGGUGCAGUAUUCGUCCACCACCCAUUCCUGAAACUACGCAAAUGAGAACAUUUGUGGUUUGAAGCAGCAGAGCACGUAUUGCACCUAUAAUGCCUGCCAUGGAUCUUUCUUUCCUUCCUACUCCCCCAGCCCCUUGCCCUGAGAAGCACAGUAUUUCUCUUCUUUCCUCCUUUCCCUCUCUCCGUAUCUACACAUUUCCGAAGCCUUCAGGUUCUCUUCCCCCUUUCCAGUAGCUGGAGAUUCCCAACUCCGUCGAAGUGGAUUCCCCCGGCUCCCUGAGAGCUGGGAAAGCAUCCCAAGCCAGGCAGAUUUAGGAGACUGCAGAAAUAGGACCACUGAAAAACAACUUCAGCACUGACAGGAUUCCUGGAAAGCGACCCCGAGGGCCAGGACUCUGGGAGACCGUGGUUAACCUAAGAAGUAGCUGUUCUCUAGUCAGAUCUCCUGUUUUCAAAAUACCAAAGCUACGGGACAGAUGAUCAUAGUUCGGAGUGAAGCCUGCCAUUCCCGCUCCCGGACUGGCUCGACUGAGCUUGUAGGUGUUCACCAACCAAGGAUUGAAGACCGAGGCAGAAAUGACGCCCAGGCUGACAGGCCAGCGGGUACUGGAGGAGCCAAGCUCAUCUUGACAAACACAAACAUUCAUCCUCACCCACAAGGCAUGGUCACCUUGAGUAGGUGUGGCUGUAAAAUAAAAAUGAGUAUAUAGGGCCGGGGAUGUAGCUCAGUGGUGCUGCACCUGCCUUGCAAGCACAAGAGCCUGUGUUCAAUUCCCACUACCACAAAAAAAAUUUUUUAAUUAAAAAAUUAAAAAAAUGACUAU
rnacentral:lncRNA from 1 species